UACGUAGGGUGUAAGCGUUAAUCGGAAUUACUGGGCGUAAAGCGUGCGCAGGCGGUCUUGUAAGACAGAUGUGAAAUCCCCGGGCUUAACCUGGGACCUGCAUUUGUGACUGCAAGGCUGGAGUACGGCAGAGGGGGGUGGAAUUCCGCGUGUAGCAGUGAAAUGCGUAGAUAUGCGGAGGAACACCGAUGGCGAAGGCAGCCCCCUGGGCCUGUACUGACGCUCAUGCACGAAAGCGUGGGGAGCAAACAGG
rnacentral:rRNA from 1 species